rnacentral:rRNA from 1 species
GAUGAACGCUGGCGGCGUGCCUAACACAUGCAAGUCGAACGGAGUCCAGCCUUUAAGACCUUCGGGUCAAAGAGGGGAAGACUGAGUGGCGGACGGGUGAGUAACACGUGGGCAACCUGGCUCAUAGAGGGGGAUAACAGAGAGAAAUUUCUGCUAAUACCGCAUAAGCACACACUGCCGCAUGGCAGAGGGUGAAAAGAGAAUCGCUAUGAGAUGGACCCGCGUCUGAUUAGCCAGUUGGCAGGGUAAGAGCCUACCAAAGCGACGAUCAGUAGCCGAUCUGAGAGGAUGAACGGCCACAUUGGGACUGAGACACGGCCCAAACUCCUACGGGAAGCAGCAGUGGGGGAUAUUGCACAAUGGGGGGAACCCUGAUGCAGCGACGCCGCGUGAGUGAAGAAGUAUUUCGGUAUGUAAAGCUCUAUCAGCAGGGAAGAUAAUGACAGUACCUGAAUAAGAAGCCCCGGCUAACUACGUG